GUGACUGAUCCUGGUAUUGAUUUCCUUGUUAGUUGUACAAUGCACCCAUAGAGAGUCACUCACAUCAAAACACGAGGUUCCUGCCGACAGGGUCUCUAUAGUGAUCAGAUUUUCUGUGCGAUGAUUCCAUCCAUA